UACGUAGGGUGCGAGCGUUGUCCGGAAUUAUUGGGCGUAAAGAGCUCGUAGGCGGUGUGUCACGUCGUUCGUGAAAACCUGCAGCUUAACUGUGGGCGUGCGGUCGAUACGGGCAUCACUUGGAGUUCGGGCAGGGGAGACUGGAAUUCCUGGUGUAGCGGUGAAAUGCGCAGAUAUCAGGAGGAACACCGGUGGCGAAGGCGGUUCUCUGGGCAGUAACUGACGCUGAGGAGCGAAAGCGUGGGGAGCGAACAGG
rnacentral:rRNA from 1 species